rnacentral:rRNA from 1 species
UACACAUGCAGUCGAGCGGAUGACGGGAGCUUGCUCCUUGAUUCAGCGGCGGACGGGUGAGUAAUGCCUAGGAAUCUGCCUGGUAGUGGGGGACAACGUUUCGAAAGGAACGCUAAUACCGCAUACGUCCUACGGGAGAAAGCAGGGGACCUUCGGGCCUUGCGCUAUCAGAUGAGCCUAGGUCGGAUUAGCUAGUUGGUGGGGUAAUGGCUCACCAAGGCGACGAUCCGUAACUGGUCUGAGAGGAUGAUCAGUCACACUGGAACUGAGACACGGUCCAGACUCCUACGGGAGGCAGCAGUGGGGAAUAUUGGACAAUGGGCGAAAGCCUGAUCCAGCCAUGCCGCGUGUGUGAAGAAGGUCUUCGGAUUGUAAAGCACUUUAAGUUGGGAGGAAGGGCAGUAAGUUAAUACCUUGCUGUUUUGACGUUACCGACAGAAUAAGCACCGGCUAACUCUGUGCCAGCAGCCGCGGUAAUACAGAGGGUGCAAGCGUUAAUCGGAAUUACUGGGCGUAAAGCGCGCGUAGGUGGUUCGUUAAGUUGGAUGUGAAAGCCCCGGGCUCAACCUGG